rnacentral:rRNA from 1 species
UACGUAGGGUGCAAGCGUUGUCCGGAAUUAUUGGGCGUAAAGAGCUCGUAGGCGGUCUGUCGCGUCGGCUGUGAAAACCCGAGGCUCAACCUCGGGCCUGCAGUCGAUACGGGCAAACUAGAGUACUGCAGGGGAGACUGGAAUUCCAGGUGUAGCGGUGAAAUGCGUAGAUAUCUGGAGGAAUACCGGUGGCGAAGGCGGCAUCCUGGACCGGCAUUGACGCUGAGGAGCGAAAGCCAGGGGAGCAAACGGG